AGAGUUUGAUCAUGGCUCAGGAUGAACGCUGGCGGUCUGCUUAACACAUGCAAGUCGAACGGAAUCCUUAGGGAUUUAGUGGCGGACGGGUGAGUAACACGUAAGAACCUGCCUCUAGGACGGGGACAACAGUUGGAAACGACUGCUAAACCCGGAUGAGCCGAAAGGUAAAAGAUUAAUCGCCUAGAGAGGGGCUUGCGUCUGAUUAGCUAGUUGGUGAGGUAAGAGCCCACCAAGGCGACGAUCAGUAGCUGGUCUGAGAGGAUGAUCAGCCACACUGGGACUGAGACACGGCCCAGACUCCUACGGGAGGCAGCAGUGGGGAAUUUUCCGCAAUGGGCGAAAGCCUGACGGAGCAAGACCGCGUGGGGGAGGAAGGUUCUUGGAUUGUCAACCCCCUUUCUCAGGGAAGAACACAAUGACGGUACCUGAGGAAAAAGCAUCGGCUAACUCCGUGCCAGCAGCCGCGGUAAUACGGGGGAUGCAAGCGUUAUCCGGAAUGAUUGGGCGUAAAGAGUCCGUAGGUAGUCAUCCAAGUCUGCUGUUAAAGAGCGAGGCUUAACUUCGUAAAGGCAGUGGAAACUGGAAGACUAGAGUGUAGUAGGGGCAGAGGGAAUUCCUGGUGUAGCGGUGAAAUGCGUAGAGAUCAGGAAGAACACCGGUGGCGAAGGCGCUCUGCUGGGCUAUAACUGACACUGAGGGACGAAAGCUAGGGGAGCGAAUGGGAUUAGAUACCCCAGUAGUCCUAGCGGUAAACGAUGGAAACUAGGUGUGGCCUGUAUCGACCCGGGCCGUGCCGAAGCAAACGCGUUAAGUUUCCCGCCUGGGGAGUACGCACGCAAGUGUGAAACUCAAAGGAAUUGACGGGGGCCCGCACAAGCGGUGGAGUAUGUGGUUUAAUUCGAUGCAACGCGAAGAACCUUACCAGGACUUGACAUCUCUGGAAUCUCCUUGAAAGGGGAGAGUGCCGUAAGGAACCAGAAGACAGGUGCUGCAUGGCUGUCGUCAGCUCGUGUCGUGAGAUGUUGGGUUAAGUCCCGCAACGAGCGCAACCCUCGUCGUUAGUUGCCAUCAUUAAGUUGGGAACUCUAGCGAGACUGCCGGUGACAAACCGGAGGAAGGUGAGGAUGACGUCAAGUCAGCAUGGCCCUUACGUCCUGGGCGACACACGUACUACAAUGCGAGGGACACAGAGCAGCCAACCCGCGAGGGAGAGCGAAUCUCACAAACCCUGGCACAGUUCAGAUUGCAGGCUGCAACUCGCCUGCAUGAAGGAGGAAUCGCUAGUAAUCGCAGGUCAGCAUACUGCGGUGAAUCCGUUCCCGGGCCUUGUACACACCGCCCGUCACACCAUGGAAGUGAGCCACGCCCGAAGUCAUUACUCUAACCCUUUCGGGGGAGGAGGGUGCCGAAGGCGGGGUUGAUGACUGGGGUGAAGUCGUAACAAGGUAACC
rnacentral:rRNA from 1 species